UCCAAACAAGAAAUGGGCUCAUUACUCAAUACAGAGAAAAUUUACAAUAUUAGGCCUGCCAUUGUGGCCCAAAUCUGAUCACAAACGGCUAUCGUCGAUCGGCCCUGUUUGCCUCUUCAGAACUUGAAUCCCCAAAUCCAUUCGACAAAAGCAAAAUCCCUAAACCUAAUUCCCAAGACCACGACGUUGCUUGCACUACCGUCGCCGCCGUGAGACCUCCGUCGAAUUCUUAAAGAUGGGGCAAGUCUUACUACCGUGAGUGAGCAUUUACUGUUUACAUGCAAGCCAGAGAGGAAACCAAAUGAUGCGGGCAUUUAUAGUGAAUCACUUAUUGAUGGAUGGCGACUAUUUUAUUUCUUCCCCCUUAAUUUACAACAAUAUAGAUAACAUUUAUCACAACAAUUUGUACACCUCAGAAUUUAUGUGUCCAACAAUUUUCUUAAAACAGCAGCUAAAUAAAAUUUUUAAUUUACACAAA